AAUUCUUUAUUAUAAAAAGUAAAUUUAAUUUCCAAUUAAAAGGGUUAAGAAUUA
rnacentral:tRNA from 1 species